UUUUGCUUAUAUCAGGUGUACACAAUUAAGCUCUCAAAUCAUAAAGCUUAGUACAUACUUGUAGCUUCAUCAAAAUACAUUUUGGUUCUUACACGUGGUGCACACAAUACAGCACUCCAGAUACCUAUUAAAAAUGGAAGUUAAAGAAGGAAAGCUAUCCAGUAUACAGGUCCACUUCAAUUCAAGUUACAGUCACACUUUUACAGAUUAAAAUAAUA